UACAGAGGGGGCAAGCGUUGUUCGGAAUUACUGGGCGUAAAGGGCGCGUAGGCGGCCUUCUAAGUCAGACGUGAAAUCCCUCGGCUCAACCGGGGAACUGCGUCUGAGACUGGAAGGCUUGAAUCCGGGAGAGGGAUGUGGAAUUCCAGGUGUAGCGGUGAAAUGCGCAGAUAUCGGGAGGAACACCAAUGGCGAAGGCAGCUCGCUGGGACGGUACUGACGCUGAGGCGCGAAAGCGUGGGGAGCAAACAGG
rnacentral:rRNA from 1 species